rnacentral:tRNA from 1 species
GCGUCCGUAGCUCAGCUGGAUAGAGCAUUAGUCUACGGAACUAAGGGUCGGGCGUUCGAAUCGCUCCGGACGCG